UUCAAUCUUCUGCAAUUUACUUAGUCAAAUCGUAAGUUUUCAUAUCCAUAAUUAUAUAUAAAAAAAAGUAUUGGUUUAGGACAAUGACGGACCUAGCACUCGGCAAAAGGCACAGCUGCGCGUGCUCGAUCUGUGAAAAUUUACAAUCGCUGUCGGUAGCUGCCGUGAAGAAACUUAAUGAGCAUACAUGACGAAAUAUGACAGUUUUGAUUGAGCCUUCUAUUUUUCAAUCAUGGGAUUGAGCCUUUUUUUUUUUUUUUUUUCAAUCGUGGGCCUUUUCUUUUAGGCCUCCUUUUUUUUUUUUUUUUUUUUUUUU
rnacentral:lncRNA from 1 species